rnacentral:lncRNA from 1 species
UUAAAUAUCCAGUGUUUCAUUUCAUCAAUUAACAAAUCAACUACUUGCUAUUAUUUACCUUUUUCUAAGGCAAUAUCGUGUAGAUUAACAUAUUAGAUUAAUGCAUCACUUUCUGUCUUCGACUGCGAUUCUCCAGUUUGAAAACGACUGUUGCCCCACAAAACGAAAAACAGCAUUAAAAAAUACACCCUCAACUUUUGCAUUAAAUACAUCCAAAUUUCCCUUGAAAAGCACGGUUCAUCUUCCAUUGGAUCAUGAACAGAAAGUCCUUGGAGUUCAUUUCGGGUUUGGAACUCAUUUCCUCAUCUGGGUUUGAAAUGGUCAAAACGUUUCGGUUUCUUUUUCCUUUUCUCUUGUCAAUGAAUGCAUAGAAACAUUCCUUUGUCUUCAGAUUUGCAGAGCAGAGAGAUGAAUGUUCAAAAGUCUUGCUUGAAAGAGGAAGAAGGAAGGGGUGAUAGAGUCGGAGAAAAAGACCUACCGAAAUUAAACAGGUUGCAACUAAAACAAGUCUCUGAUUCUUUUCACCAUGUAGUCGUUGACCACAAAAGUUUCUCCUCAGAGAGAAAAAUUCGACAACCCGAAAAUAGGAAAAAACCAAGUAUUUCACUUCCCAAGCCG